UACGGAGGGGGCAAGCGUUGUUCGGAAUUACUGGGCGUAAAGCGCACGUAGGCGGCUUUGUAAGUUAGAGGUGAAAGCCCGGGGCUCAACUCCGGAAUUGCCUUUAAGACUGCAUCGCUAGAAUUGUGGAGAGGUAAGUGGAAUUCCGAGUGUAGAGGUGAAAUUCGUAGAUAUCGGGAAGAACACCCGUGGCGAAGGCGGCUCUCUGGGACGGUACUGACGCUGAGACGCGAAAGCGUGGGGAGCGAACAGG
rnacentral:rRNA from 1 species